rnacentral:misc_RNA from 1 species
CCGAGUUAUACAACUCAUCAACCCUGUGAACAUACCUAAAACGUUGCUUCGGCGGGAACAGACGGCCCUGUAACAACGGGCCGCCCCCGCCAGAGGACCCCUAACUCUGUUUUUAUGAUGUUUUUCUGAGUAAACAAGCAAAUAAAUUA